UACGAAGGGGGCUAGCGUUGUUCGGAAUUACUGGGCGUAAAGGGCGCGUAGGCGGUCCUUCAAGUCAGGCGUGAAAGCCCCGGGCUCAACCUGGGAACCGCGCUUGAGACUGGCGGACUCGAGUUCGGGAGAGGAUGGUGGAAUUCCCAGUGUAGAGGUGAAAUUCGUAGAUAUUGGGAAGAACACCGAUGGCGAAGGCAGCCAUCUGGACCGACACUGACGCUGAGGCGCGAAAGCGUGGGGAGCAAACAGGAUUAGAAACCCGGGUAGUCC
rnacentral:rRNA from 1 species